rnacentral:rRNA from 1 species
GUGUCAGCCGCCGCGGUAAGACGGAGGGGGCUAGCGGUGUUCGGAAUUACUGGGCGUAAAGCGCGCGUAGGCGGAUGUGCAAGUUGGAGGUGAAAGCCCGGGGCUCAACCUCGGAAUUGCCUUCAAAACUGCACAUCUAGAGGCCGGGAGAGGGUAGCGGAAUUCCCAGUGUAGAGGUGAAAUUCGUAGAUAUUGGGAAGAACACCGGUGGCGAAGGCGGCUACCUGGACCGGUCCUGACUCUGAGGUGCGAAAGCGUGGGGAGCAAACAGGAGUAGAUACCCUGGUAGUCCACGCCGGAAACGAUGGGUGCUAGCUGUUGGUGAGCCUAGCUCUUCAGUGGCGCAGCUAACGCGUGAAGCACCCCGCCUGGGGAGUACGGCCGCAAGGUUAAAACUCAAAUGAAUUGACGGGG